CUGCCGCUGUAUUAAACCGCUCCCCGGGAAAAGGCGGGGGGGGGCCGGUCUCUCAGCGGGGGAAAAGGAGGAGGGGCGGGGAGACGGUCUGCCUGGCCCCGGGGACCUCCUUAACUUGGGCUGGAGAGGGCGGAAGCGGCCCCGGUGCAGGCUGGGAGAUGUAGUUCCUGACUCUCCCUGCACAGGAAGUGACGUCGGCGGGGAGGCGGAGCCGGGCUGCGAAGGAGCGUUGGUCGCUCCGGCUCUGCCUGGCUCGCGCGGAGCCGUUGGAGCCUCUCCCGGGGCCGGAGAAGGGUGUGUGACUGAGAUCAGGGCUCCUAUCGUACUGAGCGUGGCCCUGUUCUGCCAGGCGCUGCAGGGACCCCAGCUGAGAUCUGGGCCUUUUUCUGCCAGGCACUGAAGAGACCCCAGGGGCCGGUGACCUUUGAGGAGGUGGCUGUGUAUUUCACCAGGGAAGAGGGGGCUCUGGUGGACCCCACUCGCAGAGCCCUUUACAGAGACGUCAUGCAGGAGAACUAUGAGAAGGUGACCUUGCCUGGAAACAGAAGCUUCCUCCCCCUGGGCUGCUCUCCAGUACUGAACCUCCUGCACACAGACCAUCUGAGACUUGUACAGUGUUACUACCUCUUUCCCUUCAUCCUAAAUUUUCCCUGUGAGUCACUCUGCCUCCGCUUACCCCUCACUAAGCCCCACAGAUCACUCCAACAUACGCCACCAGGGUGCUGACAAUCCCCAUGGCAAGAACACACCAUUGGGCACCUUUGCUAACAAAGCCUGCAACACUCAGCACGGAAAUGAGGCAGAAUUGGCCCCCCAAGUUUCACAUGCACCUCUCUGCGUAGCACAGGCACAGCUCUGCCCAGCUGCUGCAACCCAUCCCUCCAUCAGCCAGUCACAGCUACAGCUGGCCCAGUGCACGCAGCUGGAGACAUGCGGAUAGAUGCUGGGAUUCCCAUCUGUGAACACAGCACAGACAGUGACACAUUCUCUUAGUCUUUCCUUGGAUCGAUUACGGAUUCGCAGCUUCGAAGGCCAGAUGUGACUAUUAGCUCAUCUGCUCUGACGUCCUUUAUACCACAGACCAUAGAAUUCAUCCCGUUACUGCGGCAUUGAGCUGAACACCUGAGUCCCUGUGGCAGUUUGUUAACCUUUGCGUGGCCGACACAGAACCAUCCUCAGGGGUUUCCAGUUUCCAAACCCUCUGUGAUCUCCCAGCUGGAAGGAGGGGAAGAGCCGUGGGUCCUGGAUCUCCAGGGUUCUGAGGAAAACGAGAUCCUGAGAAGUCCCUGGACAGCAGGUGAUGGGGUGGUGAGGGAGAGCGAGGAGCAGAAUCCUCACCAGGAAGUUGCUGAGCUUGCCGAAGCGCACGGGGAAUUACUGUGAAGAUCCAAAGGAAGCGUGUCCAGCCCCCGUGAUCAGGGAAAAGCUGAUGAAAGUUACCACAGACCAGAGAGAUAGCAGGGAAACCACUCAGAGGAGAGAGUGGAUGAACCCAUUAAUUGUCAGGCAACUCACAGGGACCUCAAGGAAACUACGUCCCAGGAGAAAAUCCUCACGGAGAAGCGAGAGAAUACAUGUAGUGAGUGUGGGAAAAACUUCAAUUACCAUUCAGGCCUUAUUCGACAUGAGAUAAUCCACACAAAAGAGAGACCCUACGAAUGCUGUGAGUGUGGGAAAAGCUUCAAUCGUACCUCUGCCCUUAGUAGGCAUCAGCAAAUACACAGAGGAGAGCGACCCUACGAAUGCUGCGAGUGUGGGAAAAGCUUCUUUCGGAGCUCAACCCUUAUUACACAUUACAGAAUCCACACCGGGCAGAGACCCUAUGAAUGGUGCGAGUGUGGGAAAAGCUUCGCUCAUAGUUCAGGCCUUUCUAAACAUCAGAGAAUCCGUAAAGGAGAUAAACUUCAUAAAAACCUUCUCUAGAGCUGUCAGAAGAUUUUUUUUCUUUAAUUCUUUUGAUAGUUCCCAGGUAGUGAGUGUUAAGGCUGUUUGCAUCUUUUGCUCACUGUAGUCCCUCAGCUCCCACACAUGAGUUGCCCACUUUUGAAGCUCGCCCGUCUUUGAGGUGGAUCCUGUGGUCCUUUCUAUCAACUCCAUUGUCCUGUGAGUCAUGGGAGAGUGUCCUUUCUACCAGGAAUGUCAUCACCCCAGGUGGGGGAGAUAGAGGGUGUCUUCCACCAGCUACGCUGAGAUACAAUCUACCUGGGUCUCAUCACUGUGGUUGCUAGCUUGAGUUCACUUUCCUGAUGUAAAAAGACAGCUAUUCUUGCAGUAAAGACAUGGGCCAUGGAUAGUGGGUGGGGUUAUCUAGCACAUUUCCUCCUGAUCUGACCUAACUACGGUCACAUUUCCUUGUCUGAACAAACCUGGAGAUUCAUAUUUGUACUCGUCCUCCCAGUGCAAAGUUAUUGUUAAAAACGUUAUGUUCCUCUUUGAGGACAGAUUGUCUCAUUCCCAGUUGUUCUCACAUUACCCUGCAUUGUGCAGAACAGCAGUUACUUUGUUGACUUUUUUUCUCAUUUUAAAAUAUAUUUACAUAUGAUGAAGAGCUGGAGCCGUGUCAGGGAAAUAAGGGUCAUUUCAGGCUCUGUGACACUGGAAGGAGGUGAGGAAGGACGGAAUAUCUGAGUCGCCCCGUCACCCUAGAACUGUUACCUUGUGUCUGAGCCAUGCACAGUUCAUCCCUUCAUAUUCCUUCACUUCCCAACGUGUCCGGUGAGGUCAUGUUCUUGGCUGUCCAUGCUUGGGAAUGGUGCUUGGACGUCUUUGAUCCUAAAUCAGAGUCACUCAGGCAUGAGGGGAAAGUGUCACAGGCCUGGAAGGGGAUUUCAAAUGGAUCCCAGGCACUGUUCAAAUCCCCUUUUCCCUCUAUUGGCAAAGCCACUUCUGGGAAGGUCAGCUGUUUUUUCCCCCCCUUUAUGAAGAAGCUAAAACUUUUUUGUAAAUAACACUAAUGAGACAGUACUGGGUGAAGCAGGUUUCAGUGGAUCAGGGGAGAAUUUCUCAUCCUGAUUCUGAGUUAUCAGAUGUAACCUAGUCUGGAAUUUCACUUUAAAUGAAAAUGAAAGUGUCUUCUACCUGUCUGUGA